GUCAACAGUCGCAGUCAAGCCUCGUCGGCCUUGUCUUUGCAUGUGGAGCGAGCUAGCUAUGCCUUCUUUGCGCGGCGUAGUGAUUGGCGACAGCCAAGUGAAAUUUAUGUGCAGGAGUCGCCUUCCCUUGAAGGCCUCCGUCAAGACCUGCACAUUUAGUUACGCUGGCUUUGACGCGGUGCGCAUGGCCGAGGCUGUCAGUGCGAUGCGCUUCCAGCGCGUUGAUUUUGCCAUUUUAUACGUUGGAGGCAACGACCUUGCCAACAUCAACGCGAAGCCUCAGGAGAUAUGCGACAAUAUUGGGGAGUUAGUUUUACAACUGCAGCACGACGUGGCCCCUAUUGUCUAAGUCUUCAAGGUGCUCCCACGCUGCUUCAACCCCGAAGACGCCGAUGCGGAGCGCAAGACACGGAAAGCGCGCUUGCUGAACCGCAAGCCGACGGCUACGCUAAAGCGCUGGCCAUGUGUUCGCAUCUUGAACGCCGAG